UGGUAGAUGCACCCUGAUCCAUACCCUGGAGGCUAACUCCAGGGCUUCUUUAU
rnacentral:sRNA from 1 species